GACGAACGCUGGCGGCGUGCCUAAUACAUGCAAGUCGAACGCAGUGGGGACGGGUGAUUAUCACGUGCGUAACCUCCCAUCAGAGGGGAUAACACUUGGCAACAGGUGCUAAACCGAUACUGAUGGAUGGACCCGCGGUGCAUUAGCUAGUGGGUGAGGUAACGGCCAACCAAGGCCACGAUGCUUAGCGGACCGGAGAGUGUGAUCGGCCCCACUGAGCCGGGGACACGUCCCGAACUCAUAGGGGAGGCAGCAGUAGGAAAUCUGCGGCAAUGGACGAAGGACUAACCGAGCAACGCGGCGUUAGUGAAGGAGGUUUUCGGAUCGAAAAUCUCUGUUGUGAGAAAAGGGGGAUCUAACCAGAAAGACACGGCUAACUACGGGCCAGCAGCCGCGGUAAUA
rnacentral:rRNA from 1 species